CCUACGGGUGGCUGCAGUGGGGAAUAUUGGACAAUGGGCGCAAGCCUGAUCCAGCAAUGCCGCGUGAAUGAUGAAGGCCUUAGGGUUGUAAAAUUCUUUCGAUAGGGAAGAGAAUGACGGUACCUAUAUAAGAAGCUCCGGCUAACUCCGUGCCAGCAGCCGCGGUAAUACGGAGGGAGCUAGCGUUUUUCGGAAUUACUGGGCGUAAAGAGCAUGUAGGCGGCUUAUUAAGUUGAAAGUGAAAGCCCAGGGCUUAACCCUGGAACUGCUUUCAA
rnacentral:rRNA from 1 species